rnacentral:lncRNA from 1 species
UGGAUUUAUAUAUAAAGGUAAUUUCUCGUUUAAAUCAUUGUUUUGAAGAGAGAAAAUUCUCUAUUCCAAGACGGAUGACUGUGCAAAUUCUCAUGAGGAGGUCAUAUAGCUAGUACCAGUAGUACAAUAUAAUCAAACCAUGUAAGUACGUACUUUCUGUUUUAGAUUAAAGAGUGUACCUCUAACACUUUGUAUUCAAUAAAAGGAAUCAGAGUUUGAGAUAAAUGAAUACAAGUUAAAGUUUGAAAAGAGAUUAAAAGAAGAAUAUGGUAGUCUGUUGGUGACUGAGGUCUCAAAAUUGGUAUUUACUACUGUCUUUUUAAUUUAGCGUAUUAAUUACUCUUAUAAUAUACACACACAUUUUUGAGAUUUUCGUUUUUCUUUUGGCUUAAUUAUAUGAUAAUCUAUUAAUUGUUUUAUAUUUGGUGUCUAGUACACUUUACUACCACAUAGAGCCUUAUUCGAUGUAUAUAUUUGCUGUCUAGUACACUUCACUACCACAUAGAGCCUUAUUCAACUGAAUGUAAUCUUUUUUUCUUAUAUAACAUAAUUGUAUAUAUGAAAUAUCCCAAAAUGUUUUACAGAUAGUGUUAAACUUUGAACCAAUAUUUCAAAUGUGCAAUCGAUUCUGUAAGAAUUUAAUUUAAAAUUAAGAUUCGACUCUACACACUGUAAACUGAAAAUGAAUACAGUCAGACCUCUCUAUAACAGCAACCCUAUAUAACAGUUAUUCACUAUAAAAAUCAAAUUAUUCUCGGAACUAAUUUUUAUGUCAUGUGAUAAGUCUAUGUCUUCUAUAACAACGUAACACUUCUCUAUAGCAGCCAAAAAAUAUCAAAACAAAAAACUGUUAUAAAUAAAUUUUACUGUUUAUAGACGCAAUGUUGCAGUUUUGGAACCGCAGUUACCAACAUACUAUCAAAUUUCUCAGCCUUAAGUUUCCUCCAAGAUCUGAGGAAUAUGUCCGGUGUUGAAGAGCAGAUUUGAACACGUUUCUCCUCUCUCUUUCUCUCUAGCAUGAAUGAAUUAAUUCUCUUCUCUUUCCAUUAAUCAAAGCUACUAUUUUCUUCUUAAUUUAUGUGGCAUACUUUUCAUUUUAUUCUGUUCUAGUAAAAAUGUC